rnacentral:lncRNA from 10 species
UAAAAACGUAGAUGUAGGAAGUUCCUAUAAAUCCUUCUCAAAGAAAAGAUAUGUUAUAAAUAACUAGUUGUUAGGUGUCAUCUUCACUUAACAAUAAAACAAGUGAUGACUACAAGGCCCUUUUUUGUACAGAAAAAUUGGUAACUUGGAUUGAUAUGGUAGGGGUUGUUAGAGCUUCUGUAAGAAGUCAGAGUGCAUCUGAGCCUUGAAGUCUGCUAGAACUUGAAUGUGAAACAAAUAGAAGGACGUGGCAGACAAGAAGAUUUUGAAAACUUAAAGUGUAGCCCACGCAGGUAAUUUGAGGGGAGAGUAAAAAAUCAUUCUUGCUGUAAUAGAGCAUUGGUGUUUGAGAAUGGGGUUGAGAUGAACUCUCAUUGGUGUUGAGAUGAACUUGGAGAACUAAAGAGGUCAGAGUAUGGGGGACUUUGCAUGUCAAGAUGAAUGGAAUCAGAACUUCAUGGCACUUGCAGAAAAUACCCACUUAAUUUUCAAGAAGAACUCUGUAAAAGAAUGCUUAUCAACUUCUCCAGAAUAAAAAUUGGGCCUAAAUAUGAAGACUUUGCCAUUAUAUGAACACUCUUCAACGCUUUGACUCCGUGAAGUUAAUAUCAUUGCCACCAUUCUUAAAAGUGUGGCCAAGAAAUCUUCAAGCCAAGUUAAUUGGGUUGAUUUGCAGAUGGAUUCUGCUAAUUAUACUUCAGGAAACAUCAGGAGUGCCCAUACAUCAAGAAUGCUGAUGGGCUGACAGAAGCUGGACUAACCCUUGUUCACCAUCAGGUGAUCUGAACGAUAGAAGACACAAAAAAUGGUAGAACAAGACAGAGGAAAUCUGAGUUCUGAUACCACACCAGCCCUAAGCUAUCUACCUCUAGACUGUGACAUGAAAAUAAAUGUAUUUCCCUCUUGUCUAAGCCACUGCUAACUUUUGUUUUGUUCUGCUUUAUUUGUUUAAUCUCUAAGAGCUGUCCCUAAUCUUUUCUGAAACCUGCUGAUAUCCAUAACCCUUGAAAUUGUUGACAAUUAGUUAUUUAGACAGUGAUCUCAAGCAAGUACAUGUCUGUUGUUUAGGAAAAGGAGCUAGGCUUACAAAAUUGGCUUUUUAUCAAUACCUCUGUCUUCUACAGGAAAUUGUUCUACCAGUCUGAAUUUUCAGGCUUUCUCCACCAGUGACUAAUUCUGGUAAGAAACUGACUCGAAUUGGCCACAUUUAUUUCUUGGGUGGAAUUAACAUGAGGAAGGUCUCUAUUCAUUCCUGGCCUAGUCUCUUCAUUCUGUCUACAAGAGGAAAAAAAAAAAAAAAAAAAAGGACAUUAACCUUCAGACUCCCAAGCAAGAAUAAGGGAAUAAGGCAAGUCAGGUUCCACAUCUUGCUCUUGCAACUGGGUACAUUAAUUCAAGAGAGUGGGGAUGGAGAAGGAGGUCCAUUUUGGUCUCAAUACCAAGCCCAAUUCUGCAGUUGAGCUAAACUGAAUAGGGCAGUUAUUUUAAACUCAUCCUGCCUUGCUGUGAUAGUUUUCAACUUAGGUAAGAGUCUUGAGAAGAAGAG